rnacentral:lncRNA from 1 species
UUUCCCUACUAAUCCUACGCUUUUAUUUUAUGCAUUUAGAAUUCUGAGAUGGCUCCAGGGACUUCACCGACCACCAAAGGGCCACACCAUGUGACUAAGUGGAAACAGGAUCAUUCUGCCACCAACAGCAGCUGGACCAAGCACAUGACCUUGAUGUGAACUGCUCCCCAGAAUUGACUGGCACAGGACAGGUGAGAGAUAAAGACAAGACAGAAAUGCCCAGAGAAGUUGGAGAAGACACCAUUGAGACAAUGGAAUGUCCACUAACGCUUCGAGACUUCAGAACUCUGAUCAAUGUUGGAACCACGUGAGAGUUGGAGGCCUGAGGCAAAUGAUGC